UGACAAUAACCAAAUUGAUAGAGACUCCUCCAACUCUCCAUCUCUUGUGGAUGUUCCCGAGUCCUUGCGGACUUCCCACCUCAAUGAAACGGGGAAACUGUUGAACAUGGACCCAGUUCACUCAACAUAUAACGCACGCAAACCUUGUUCUGCCAUAGAUCAGUAUCCUUUGUGCCGUGAAGCUGACGAAGACCCACUACCAAGAAGCAGCUCAGAGAAUUUUUCGGCUCUGCGUCCUGUUGUUGGCGGUGGAUACCUACCUUUUCUGUACCACCUAAACCGGUAAACAAGCUUACUAAGGAUGAUUCUCCUAAGAACCCUCUGCUACAGACCGAGCACCACAAACAACCCUGUGUUAACCUAAAAACUGCACGAGUCUCUGCAACAGCAGUGGGACACCCUGACUCUGAUGGCUCAUGCAAAAGAGACGCGACUGGGCAACUUUGCGCUGGUUUGGCCGUACGUUCACCACAUACAGUCAUUGAAGCUCACAGUCUUCCUGGUAUCCGGAGCGCACAACCCACUGAACUAAUAGCCUUAACCCGUGCUUGUAUUGUAGCUGGCAAUAAGUCUGUUAAUAUUUAUGCUGAUCCCCAUUAUGCCUUUAAAGUGUGCCAUUCCACAGGUCAGAUUUGGAAGCAUCGUGGAUUCCUUACCUCGUCUCGGUCUCCUAUUCCUCAUGCUCCUUCAACUAAUGCCUUGCUGGAUGCUAUUUUCCUCCUGAAACCAUUUUCUGUUCUGCACUGUAAAGGUCAUACAGGAGGUUUGCAUGAUGUGAGCAAAGGAAAUCCUUGUGCAGAGAAACAUGCACAGCAUGCAGUGCUUGCUUGAUGGUACCUCACUUGCCAUUCCCUGUUGUCUAGUCCUUGAUCUCGUAACCUCUAACGUGUCUCUUCUCCAGGAUGCAGCUCCAGAAUCCGAAAACCACGUGUGGCUGUCUGCCGGGGGUAUCUUACAUUCAGAGACCUUGUGGAAGUCUCGUGACGGGUGCAUCAUUCCCCCUAAAACCCUUGUCCCUCAUCUUGCAGGCACGUCUCAUGAAAUGGGA